rnacentral:rRNA from 1 species
UACGAAGGGGGCUAGCGUUGCUCGGAAUUACUGGGCGUAAAGCGCACGUAGGCGGAUUGUUAAGUCGGGGGUGAAAUCCUGGAGCUCAACUCCAGAACUGCCUUCGAUACUGGCGAUCUCGAGUUCGGGAGAGGUGAGUGGAACUGCGAGUGUAGAGGUGAAAUUCGUAGAUAUUCGCAAGAACACCAGUGGCGAAGGCGGCUCACUGGCCCGAGUACUGACGCUGAGGUGCGAAAGCGUGGGGAG